rnacentral:rRNA from 1 species
GAUGAACGCUGGCGGCGUGCCUAAUACAUGCAAGUCGAGCGAACAGACGAGGAGCUUGCUCCUCUGACGUUAGCGGCGGACGGGUGAGUAACACGUGGAUAACCUACCUAUAAGACUGGGAUAACUUCGGGAAACCGGAGCUAAUACCGGAGAAUAUAUUGAACCGCAUGGUUCAAUAGUGAAAGACGGUUUUGCUGUCACUUAUAGAUGGAUCCGCGCCGCAUUAGCUAGUUGGUAAGGUAACGGCUUACCAAGGCAACGAUGCGUAGCCGACCUGAGAGGGUGAUCGGCCACACUGGAACUGAGACACGGUCCAGACUCCUACGGGAGGCAGCAGUAGGGAAUCUUCCGCAAUGGGCGAAAGCCUGACGGAGCAACGCCGCGUGAGUGAUGAAGGUCUUCGGAUCGUAAAACUCUGUUAUUAGGGAAGAACAAAUGUGUAAGUAACUAUGCACGUCUUGACGGUACCUAAUCAGAAAGCCACGGCUAACUACGUG